GUAUCUUGUGGAAGCAUGUGGAGGCCUUUUGAUAUCAUCUGCAAAAGAAUUCCAGAAUAAUGCAAUGAGGAAAGUAAUUUUGACUUGUUUUUCCGAUGAUGAUGUCAGUAAGGAGGAUUCAAAGAAAUUUAAAGAUUUGCAUUUUGAGACUGGAGUUCAGACAGUAAGUCGGGAGUGGCUGUUCGAUUCUCUAUCAUCUUCUCAUGCCAAAUCUUUGUGUAACUAUCUGAUAUAUGAAAAAGACAGUGAUAGUGGAAAAGAAA